AUUUUGGGGGGCAGGAGCACUCUCUUUUAUGGACACCCAGCCAGCCAAUUAGCUAAAAAGUCCCUUUUGGUGGCUGUUUUCUGCUUGCUUUACCUGUAAAGGGUUAACAAAGUCCCCCAGGUGAAGAAAAGGGAGUGGGCACCUGACCAAAAGAGCCAAUGGGAAGGCUAGAACUUUUUUAA